rnacentral:lncRNA from 1 species
UUUUUUAGCUCACCUGGCCCGAAGGGCCAAGUGAGCUUUUCUCAUCACUUGGCGUCCGGCGUCCGUCGUCGUCCUGCGUCCGUCGUCGUUAACUUUUACAAAAAUCUUCUCCUCUGAAACUGCUGGGCCAAAUUUAACAAAACAUGGCCAAAAUCAUUAUUAGGGUAUCUAGUUUAAAAAUUGUGUCCGGUGACACGGCCAACCAACCAAGAUGGCCGCCAUGGCUAAAAAUAGAACAUAGGGGUAAAAUGCAGUUUUUGGCUUAUAACUCAAAAACCAAAGCAUUUAGAGCAAAUCUGACAGGGGUGAAAUUGUUUAUCAGGUCAAGAUCUAUCUGCCCUGAAAUUUUCAAAUGAAUCGAACAACCCGUUGAUAGGUUGCUGCCCCUGAAUUGGUAAUUUUGAGAAAAUUUUGCUGUUUUUGGUUAUUAUCUUGAAUAUUAUUAUAGAUAGAGAUAAACUGUAAACAGCAAAAAUGUUCAGCAAAGUAAGAUCUACAAAUAAGUCAACAUGACCAAAAUGGUCUGUUGACCCCUUUAGAAGUUAUUGCCCUUUAUAGUCAAUUUUUAACCAUUUUUCGUAAAUCUUAAUUAUCUUUUACAAAAAUCUUCUCCUUUGAAACUACUGGGCCAAAUUAAACCAAACUUGGCCACAAUCAUCAUUCGGUUAUCUAGUUUAAAAAAUUGUGUCCGGUGAUCCGGCCAACCAACCAAGAUGGCCGCCAUGGCUAAAAAUAGAACAUAGGGGUAAAAUGCAGUUUUUGGCUUAUCACUCAAAAACCGAAGCAUAUAGAGCAAAUCUGACAUGUAGUAAAAUUGUGUAUCAGGUCAAGAUCUAUCUGCCCUGAAAUUUUGAGAUGUAUCGGACAACUCGUUGAUAGGUUGCUGCCCCUGAAUGGGUAAUUUUAAGGAAAUUUUGCUGUUUUUGGUUAUUAUCUUGAAUAUUAUUAUAAAUAGAGAUAAACUGUAAACAGCAAAAAUGUUCAGUUAAGUAUGAUCUACAAAUAAGUCAACAUGACCAAAAUGGUCUGUUGACCCCUUUAGGAGUUAUUGCCCUUUAUAGUCAAUUUUUAACCAUUUUUCGUAGAUCUUAGUUAUCUUUUACAAAAAUCUUCUCCUCUGAAACUACUGGACCAGAUUUAACCAAACAUGGCCAAAAUCAUUAUUAGGGUAUCUAGUUUAAAAAUUGUGUCCGGUGACCCGGCCAACCAACCAAGAUGGCCGCCAUGGCUAAAAAUAGAACAUAGGGGUAAAAUGCAGUUUUGGCUUAUCACUCAAAAACCAAAGCAUUUAGAGCAAAUCUGACAUGUGGUAAAAUUGUUUAUCAGGUCAAGAUCUAUCUGCAACAACAAAAGAAAGAGAGUUUUUAACGACCUCAGCUGGCUAUACAACCGUUGCACAAUCAACUGAAUUUUGCAGAAAUCAUUUAUAGGAUAGAUUGCCCAUAUAUGAUAAUUUUUUAUUACCUUUUUGUUUUUUUUGGCAAAGGCGGGGGGGGGGGGGGGGGUUGCGCAACAACAAAACUACUUCACAACUUUCUCAUUACUUUGCAUUUCUUGUUAGAUAAAUUUUACCAAAAGUCUCCCCUGAACAACUGUCGGAUUUAAACAAACUUGGUUUAAAUCACCACUAGGAUAUCAAGGGACCACUGUGUAUGAUGACCCUGCCUGCCCACAUGGCUGAAAUAAAACAUAGGUUUCAAAUGCACUUUUUAGUAUUAUAUCUCUGAAACUAAACAACAGUACAACAGUUGCAUUUAUCAUGCAACAAUUGUAAAUAAAAAUAUCAGGUGAGCGACACAGGGUCCUUGGACCCUCUAGUUUUG